GCUCCAAGGGAGCCUCAGAAACCAGCUCCCACCUCCCACAUGACCACACAGUCCACUUCUGCCCAGAAAACCUCUACCUCAAGGCAACAUCACUGCAGUUACUGCCACAAACACCCCUUCCCCCCCAUCCCUCAGAGAGGGGAAGUUCAAUAACUGUGGUUUGUUUAACUCACGCUUUGUUCUGCAGUUUGGGAUCGAGGACCAGCAGAUGCUCCAGCCAACAGCCCAGUACACACAGCCUUCCCCAACGCCCCUCCUCACCACACCUGAAAGCCCAAACAACCCUGCAAAGUUAAAGGGUCUUAUGGGCUGUGCUGCUUAACCACCCUCAGCUGUGCAAUCACCACCAGUUCCACCAGUUCUCUGCUUUCCCGCUCGGAGGCUGGAGCAGCACAGCUCCCCCAGCCUGCCCUGCACAAGGCUGUCCACACAGCCCCCCGAGACACGUGCUAGACCAUUUUACCUGCUUUUACUCUACCUCUGCUUCAGCUUCCCUAAUUCCCACAAGACUCCCCACAGCACAAGCUCACCCUGCAGCACACACAGGAUGACAGGCAGCUGUUUCAGAUAAAGCAUCUGCCUUCUUUUCCCCUCCUUCUUAACCAAAGCUUCCCCGAUGAUGCAGCUUCCAAAGGAGGUGUUUGGAGAGACAGGAGAAAGCUGGAAGCCAGCUGAGGCUGUGUGGAGCCUGAGGACUCAUGACCACUGCCACUGAGAAACCCAGAGGGUCUCUCCUGCUGCUGCCUGGAAGCAUCAGAAAACAUCUACUUGUUGCACCUCACAUGUUCGUGGCAAAUAGAAGGCAGACCAAGAAACAGUAGCUAUAGCAGGCAGGAUGGAGAUCAUCCUGAGACACCCAGGGCCAGCAACUGUAGGACAUUUGCUGGAAAAACUACUCCAUGCUAACCUGCAGGGAAAACCACAUAUUGGCCCCUUUCAAUCUGAUGGCCCCCUUCCAAUCUGAUGUCUUGUCUCCUAAUCUGGAUUAAGUUUAACCUCGAGAGCACAUCCAGGCUGUGGAAAGUGAGCACCUGUGAAUGUAAAGGCAUGAGCAGCAUCUGCUGGAUGAGCCGAGCCAAGUGCAGCUGCAGCUUCUGCAGAGUUUGGGAAAACCAUUCUCUCUGCUGGUCACAGCACCUCCAAGAGGGAGAUAAGCAACCCCUGAACAUACAAAUGUAAUUCUCAUCCUGUGGAGUCCAAAGGACUUCUGCCAGGGCUCCCAGGACUUUUCAUCUACUGCAAAGAUUGUCAAGGAGCAGCACAGGAGGGAAACAAAACCAGGAAAUAUGGGAGGCACAUGUGCACGUCUGAUUAACUCGACGUUUUAUGAUAAACAAAGCAGCUCAAGGGCCCUGUUCUCUCUG